rnacentral:rRNA from 1 species
AUUGAACGCUGGCGGCAGGCUUAACACAUGCAAGUCGAGCGGGGAAAGGUAGCUUGCUACUUUACCUAGCGGCGGACGGGUGAGUAAUGCUUAGGAAUCUGCCUAUUAGUGGGGGACAACAUCUCGAAAGGGAUGCUAAUACCGCAUACGUCCUAUGGGAGAAAGCAGGGGACCUUCGGGCCUUGCGCUAAUAGAUGAGCCUAAGUCGGAUUAGCUAGUUGGUGGGGUAAAGGCCUACCAAGGCGACGAUCUGUAGCGGGUCCGAGAGGAUGAUCCGCCAAACUGGGACUGGAACACGGCCCAGACUCCUACGGGAGGCAGCAGUGGGGAAUAUUGGACAAUGGGGGGAACCCUGAUCCAGCCAUGCCGCGUGUGUGAAGAAGGCCUUUUGGUUGUAAAGCACUUUAAGCGAGGAGGAGGCUACCGAGAUUAAUACUCUUGGAUAGUGGACGUUACUCGCAGAAUAAGCACCGGCUAACUCUGUGCCAGCAGCCGCAGUAAAAC